GACGAACGCUGGCGGCGUGCCUAAUACAUGCAAGUAGAACGCACAGUUUAUACCGUAGCUUGCUCCACCAUAGACUGUGAGUUGCGAACGGGUGAGUAACGCGUAGGUAACCUGCCUGGUAGCGGGGGAUAACUAUUGGAAACGAUAGCUAAUACCGCAUAAUAUUGAUUAUUGCAUGAUAAUUAAUUGAAAGGUGCAAUUGCACCACUACCAGAUGGACCUGCGUUGUAUUAGCUAGUAGGUGAGGUAACGGCUCACCUAGGCGACGAUACAUAGCCGACCUGAGAGGGUGAUCGGCCACACUGGGACUGAGACACGGCCCAGACUCCUACGGGAGGCAGCAGUAGGGAAUCUUCGGCAAUGGACGAAAGUCUGACCGAGCAACGCCGCGUGAGUGAAGAAGGUUUUCGGAUCGUAAAGCUCUGUUGUAAGAGAAGAACGGGUGUGAGAGUGGAAAGUUCACACUGUGACGGUAUCUUACCAGAAAGGGACGGCUAACUACGU
rnacentral:rRNA from 1 species